rnacentral:lncRNA from 1 species
UCCAAACUAUAAUCGGACCUGCAGCAGGCAGUCCUAAUGUAUCUAAGCAGCUUGUUUGCUUGGAUGCGUGUAAGAAGUUGCAUUUGAUGGGCGCUCUUGAUGAUCGUUUACUUCCUUCAAAGCAAGGGUCCGCACAGAAGGAUUCCACCUUGAAAGGCGACACAAAACUGAAAAAAGUCAAAGCAGUAACCGGGUCCGCUCAGAAGGAUUCCACCUUGAAAGGCGACACAAAACUGAAAAAAGUCAAAGCAGUAACCGGGUCUGCUCAGAAGGAUUCCACCUCGAAAGGCGACACAAAACUGACAAAAGUCAAAGCAGUAACCUCAGGGCCAGGUAAGUAUAUACAAACAAGUUUGGUCUUUGUCCAUUUCGAUUUCUGUUACUUCCUUCUAGUUUGAUAUUUUUUCUUUUUU